rnacentral:tRNA from 1 species
GAGGAUAUAGCUCAGUGGUAGCGUGUGUGCUUAGCAAGCAAGAGGUCCUGGGUUCAAUCCUCAGUACCUCCA